CUAGGUCCCUCAAGCAGUGAGCAUCACCUGUUAUAAAUAAGAAGGAAGCACUUUCCCGUUCCAUCUCUGCAUUACCUUUGAGUGGAAAGAGUUUUAAACAAAUCCAAGUAGCCAUGAAGAUCUUCAUUCUGAUUUAUGCUUUGCUCGUCUUCUCCCUUUUGGAGGAACCAGCACUUGCACAGACAUCUGAGGCGACAUGUCACAAGGCAGGUGGCAGGUGCAAUGCAGGCUUCUGCUCAAUGGGCAGCAAUCACGAGGGACAUUGUGGUAAAGAAGAAGCAUGGUGCUGCGUACAAACUGUUCCACUGACAUCAGAGGCGACAUGUCUCGAGGCUGGUGGCAGUUGCAAUGCGGGUUUCUGCAAAUUCUACAGCUAUCGCGAGGGACAUUGUGGUAACCCAGAAACAUGGUGCUGCAUA